rnacentral:rRNA from 1 species
GACGAACGCUGGCGGCGUGCCUAAUACAUGCAAGUCGAGCGAAGUUUUUCUGGUGCUUGCACUAGAAAAACUUAGCGGCGAACGGGUGAGUAACACGUAAAGAACCUGCCUCAUAGACUGGGACAACUAUUGGAAACGAUAGCUAAUACCGGAUAACAGCAUUAACUGCAUGGUUGAUGUUUAAAAGUUGGUUUUGCUAACACUAUGAGAUGGCUUUGCGGUGCAUUAGCUAGUUGGUGGGGUAAAGGCCUACCAAGGCGACGAUGCAUAGCCGACCUGAGAGGGUGAUCGGCCACACUGGGACUGAGACACGGCCCAGACUCCUACGGGAGGCAGCAGUAGGGAAUCUUCCGCAAUGGGCGAAAGCCUGACGGAGCAACGCCGCGUGAGGGA